rnacentral:rRNA from 1 species
UUAGCGGCGGACGGGUGAGUAACACGUGGAUAACCUACCUAUAAGACUGGGAUAACUUCGGGAAACCGGAGCUAAUACCGGAUAAUAUUUUGAACCGCAUGGUUCAAAAGUGAAAGACGGUCUUGCUGUCACUUAUAGAUGGAUCCGCGCCGCAUUAGCUAGUUGGUAAGGUAACGGCUUACCAAGGCAACGAUGCGUAGCCGACCUGAGAGGGUGAUCGGCCACACUGGAACUGAGACACGGUCCAG